rnacentral:rRNA from 1 species
AAAUGAAUUGACGGGGACCCGCACAAGCAGCGGAGCAUGUGGUUUAAUUCGAUGCAACGCGAAGAACCUUACCAGGGCUUGACAUCCUUCAGCCAGGGCUAGAGAUAGCCCCUUCCCUUCGGGGACUGAGGAGACAGGUGGUGCAUGGUUGUCGUCAGCUCGUGUCGUGAGAUGUUGGGUUAAGUCCCGCAACGAGCGCAACCCUUGUCUUUAGUUGCAAACAGCUAGGCUGUGCACUCUAAAGAGACUGCCGAUGACAAAUCGGAGGAAGGUGGGGAUGACGUCAAAUCAUCAUGCCCUUUAUGUCCUGGGCUACACACGUGCUACAAUGGUCGGUACAACGGGAAGCGACCUCGUGAGAGUGAGCAAAUCCUAUAAAGCCGAUCCCAGUUCGGAUUGUAGGCUGCAAUUCGCCUACAUGAAGCCGGAGUUGCUAGUAAUCGCGGAUCAGCAUGCCGUGGUGAAUGCGUUCCCGGGUCUUGUACACACCGCCCGU